UCUACAUAUUUCCCUCCCCAGACCCCACCUGGUGGGAAUAUACUGGGUAGUUGUUGUUGUUGUUGUUAACUGCUCUGCUGCACCUGCACCAGAUGCUGCUAUUUUAGGGUAUGACGAGCAUCAGCUUGAUUUUAUGUUUCACAGAACAGAUGUCUUGUUUCUAGGGUGAGGCGAAAACUCGAGCUUUGGUUGAAAACAACAUUUCCUCUUCUUCCUUUCCCCAACAUUCAAUGGCUCUUCCAAAUGACCAGGAAGCCUUGAUGAUUAUUGUUAAGUUGUUAUUCACGCUAUUUAUUUUGAUCCAAAGGCUUUCUCAGAUGAAACAAGAGGGGUUGAGCAACCCCACUUCCAACCGAGAGCUUGUGAGUUCGAGUCUCCUCAAGAGUAAGGUGGGAAGUUCUUGGAGGGAAGGAUGCCGGGGGUCUAUUUGGAAACAGCAUCUCUACCCCAGGUUAGGGGUAAGGUUUGCGUACACACUACCCUCCCCAGACCCCACUAAGUGAGAUUAUACUGGGUUGUUGUUGUUGUUGCUUUCUCAGAUCAAAAGCACUCUUCAGUUUCAAUUUCUCUGUCUAUGAAAAAAGCAGUGCAUAAAAGGAAACUGUCUGUUGAAUCGAAGUCGGGUGUUGUGGAGUGGGAUCAUAUGUUGGAACUCUUUCGCAUCCAUGAGCUAUCUUAGUGUAGUUGGGGAAUGAGUGGCCUUAUAUCCCAUUACAGAUUUAACUUUGGCUUUAUUAACAUUGCACUUCUGCUAAUAUCCAAUGCCCUCUGAAGCCUUUACCUGGUGGUUAAUUCAGAUGGAGGUUACUUGAGGCUUUGACUAUGUAUGUAGUAGAAGAAGACAUCUUUCAUUCCCUCAUUAAACAUACUCAAAUUUAACCGAGAAGCCCAAAAAUCAACUAGAUUUUACUUUCUUUUUUUAUAUGUUUGAGAAAGUGGAGUUUUAUCACAUAAACUGGGAGGAUAUUAUGCUGCUUUGAAGACAUUUAAAGCCCGUUUGAUCAAAAUGC
rnacentral:lncRNA from 1 species